UUUAAUGCACGGAAGCACAAACUCCAAGAACUUUGAGUAUUUGUCGUAGUAAUCAAACACUGCAAAGCCUUGAAUGCGGAUUCGUUUGUAGAUUAUGUUGGAUAGGUUGUGUACACCUUCUUGGUUUUCAAGAUUGUACUGUGAGAUCAUUCCACACACAGCGAUACGUCCGUGUGGGUUCAUGUUUAAGAGCACUGCGUCUAGCAUUUUGCCUCCUACGUUCUCAAAGUAUAUGUCUAUGCCUUUGGGGAAACACCUGGAAAAAGAAGAAGAAGAGAAUCUCUCUUAGAUUAGUAACAGAGCAGUCGAUAAGAUAUCAAUCAAGAUAAAACCGUUUUUUUUUAAUUCACAAAAAUGUUCUAAUUACGGAUUACGGAGUUUCAUUGUAUUUUUCUCCAUUCUUAAGUGGUUUUCCACUUAGAACCAUGCUUUUAUCCAUUUCUCUCGUUUCUACUUUAGUUGUGAAUUGCCGCGUUAUUCUGCACACUAAUCCUCACACUUAUAGACAUCAAACAGUUCAAAAUAAGUGGUAACCGAACCUUUUCAGGGCAGCACUAAGGUCUGGUUCUUCCUUGUAGUUAAAUGCAUCAUCAAACCCAAACUUGGUCUUGAGGAGAUCAACCUAACAAAUCCCCAAAAAAGAAGUAAAAGGGCUAAUCAAUCUCUUGAAGGAUAACCAAGAAGCAUAAGGAAACAAAUAUGGAAGUGAUGAUCAAAUUCUCACCUUUUCUUUGCUACCGGCGCUUCCAACAACAUAACAGCCCAUCAUCUUAGCAAGUUGUCCCACAAGCUGACCAACCGCACCAGAUGCAGCAGACACAUAAACCGUCUCUCCUUUCUUUGGGGAACAAACUUCAUAAAACCCAGCAUAGGCAGUCAUACCAGGCAUACCUGUCAGGAACAGAGAAAACUCAUGAGGAGAGAAUACAUUAAACAGACUUGACUCCUUGUAAAUUGAAGUUUAGAACUCAACAUAAGUGAGUUUCUAAUCAACAAAACUAUUAUACAGGGUUAUGACAUUUCAACUUCAUGAUCCCUGCUGUAUUCUGAAGUUUCACCAAGUGAUUCCCGUUACAAAACCAGAACAAGGCCGAGAUUAACAUACCGAGAAGUCCAGUAUAGUAGGAUAAUGGAACAUCGGUAUGCUGGAUCUUGAAAUGAACUUGAGGUGUUGGAGUGAUAACACUGUACUCCUCCCAUCCAACUAUCCCCCAGAGUAAAUCACCUUUUUGGUAAUCUGGAUGUCCGGAUUCUAUCACUCUAGACACUCCAUACCCAGAAAUUGGCUGCACCAAAAACAAAAUGGAACAACAGUCACCACCAGAGAGAGAGAGAGAGAGAGCAAAACCCCAAGAAACACAUUUUCCUCUCAGAGUCUUCAAGAACACUAAUCUAAAGUUAUCAUAUCAUUGUCAUCUAGUUCAUAUAAAUAAGAAGCAUCCAGAUUAAUUUCUGGGGGUAUAAAAACACUAUCACUUACAGAAAUAAGUCAUCAUUCUGGUCACAAAGUAUAGUUUAUUAUAUCCAAAAGUAUAAUCACAUAAUAAUAAUCUAAACAAAAAAACGAGCUCGAACCAAACCAAAACAAAACAAACAUUAUCAUCCGAUUCGAAUUUCACCGGAGAGAUUUUCCUUAUUGGAGAAUAAAGUAGAUCAUCGUCGAUGGUACCUGGCCGGGAGUGUAAGCUUGAGCAAGAGCAGUGGAUGGUUUAGGUUUGCUCAUGCGAGUCCGCAUGUAAGGAUCGCAUGACAGGUAGAGAUUUUUCACCAGAACCGAGUUAGAACCUUCCGGAACCUUAAGUUCGACGGUGGUGGUUGUGAAAUCGAAAUCGGAUUCCUUAGGGAAACCACUCACGUAGUCUUUCAAUGUCACCUGCUUGUUCGUCGCCGUCGUCGUCAUCGUUAAUUCUUUUCCGAUUCAAUUUCUGAUUUCACCAAUUUUUGUUACUUGGGAUUCUAGUGGACGCGCCUGCUUUUUAUAGUGGCCUAUCUCUCUCGUAAUAUCAAAGUGUGACGUCACUGCUUAUGAUUGAUCCCAAUGUUCACAAUUUUGAUCUCUCUUAGCUUGGACAAAUAAACCGAACCGAAUGUAUUGAACUGAAACCAAAACAAAAAAAUUGAACCGAAUUGAACCGAAAAUUUGAAAAUAAUCUAAUGGAUACUAAAUUCUAUAACCAAAAUAACCGUAACCGAAUCGAUAUCGAACCGAAAUAUUUCGGAUAAAAUAAAUACAAUUAUAUUUUCAAAAUAAUUAAUUAUUUAUAGACCAAAUAAUCAAAAAUACUUGAAAAAUAUAUAAAAAUACUCAAAAAUAAACGAAAUAUAUCCAAAAAUAUCUGAAAAUACUCAAAAAUAACCGAAAUAUCCAAAAAUAUCCUAAACAAAAUAACCGAAUGGAUACUAAAUUUUAAAACCAAAAGAACCGCAACCGAACCGAACCGAAAUUUCAAAAUAUCCAAAUGGAUACUAAAUUUUGAAACCGAAAGAACCGAAAUCGAAUGGACCCAACCAAUAACCGAACGGUUAACCGAAAUCCCAGGCCUAAUUUUUCUCUUUCGACCGUAUUUUUUUGUCGACACUUUCACAUUUUGUUAUUAUUACAUUUCCUUUCACAUUUAUUUUUCUUUCCAAUUCUGUAUUGUUGUCACAUUUUCAGUGAUUUCACAAGAGUUAAGUGUUUAUACAUUACAAAUGUCCGAAACUUUAUUUUAUUAAUAUGAAUUAAAUUUUGAGGAUCAAAAUUAAAAGUAUAGCUGACAAAAGAAGCAAAACAGUGGUGAAUUACUACAUUGAUUGAGAACCUUCGGAGCAUCGUUGAUUUGGGACAUGCAGCAAGAACAGACGAGAACCUUCGGAUAAUCAUUAUACAAAAUUAUACUUUUUUCUUCUUUUUUUGGUAAACUACAAAAUUGUACUUCGGAGUAUUUUUUUAUGUUUUUUUCCUUUUUUCUAACUUAAAUAGUGUGUAGAUAAUUAUUACAAAUGAUUUUUUAAGACAUGAAUUUUGGUACAUGUGUGUUUGCUCGAGCAUUAGAGCUUCUCAUGUGACAUUGCUUCAAAUAACCUGCUGGUGUGUGAAGAUUCAUUUCCCAUUUUGUGCGGCACAUUUACGAUUCACUAACAUUUGUAAGACACACGAUUCACUAACAUUUGUAAGACACACGACUUUGUGGUUUUAAGCAAAGAAAAAACAUAAAUUUUAGAGACAUUUGGCUUCAAUUCCCUCAAGAGUGAGACCCUUUGUCUCCUGAAACAGUGAAGAAUAUGAAGACCAGAGACAAAACACAUAUCAAACCAAACCCAAAAAACAGUAUACCAACUCCCAAUAGUUCCCGCAAAACAGAGCCAUGUGAUUGUGAUUGUGAUUAUGUCCCCUAAUAAUGAAGAAAGGGGUUGCACAAAUAGCAACAGUAACAAUAUUCACUGAUGUUUAAACACGCAUACUUGGUAUUUGGUAACAUAACCUAAUUACAUUUUUGAAUUUGUGAGAGGGGUUUGGGAUUGUUUGUUACUACUUUGAUACAUUUCAAUUUGAUGAACAAGUCACACAGAAUAUGAUUCGAAACCAUAACUAACAAAUUGAUAUAUAUAUAUAUUAAAAAUUUACUUGAAUUACUAUUAUUUAAUAAACCAAAAACUCAGGCUUGGGUUCGAACACCCAUACAAAAUCUGUUGGAUAAAUAUAACAUUACUCCCAUAACAAAAAUAUAUUCACUCACGAGCAAUAACAACAACUUGUUUCCCAACGUUCUUACCAUGGAAGAGUCCCACAAGAGCUUCGGGAGCUUUCUCAAGCCCAUCAGCCACAUCUUCCACGUACGUGAUCUUCCCUUCUUUGAUGCACGGAAGCACAAACUCCAAGAACUUUGAGUAUUUGUCAUAGAAAUCAAGAACUACAAACCCUUGAAUGCGGAUUCGUUUGUAGAUUAUGUUGGAUAGGUUGUGUACACCUUCUUGGUUUUCAAGAUUGUACUGUGAGAUCAUUCCACAAACAGCUAUACGCCCGAGUGGGUUCAUGUUUAAGAGCACUGCGUCUAGCAUU
rnacentral:lncRNA from 1 species